rnacentral:misc_RNA from 1 species
AAGUCGUAACAAGGUUUCCGUAGGUGAACCUGCGGAAGGAUCAUUAACGAGUCUUUGAAGUGGGUUUGACGCUGGCCGUCUCAGGCAUGUGCUCGCCCCGCUCCAUUCCACUCAACCCCUGUGCACUUCAUGUUCGAAGAUGUGACUUCCCCCGUGAGGGGAGCAGCUCGGGAGACCGAGGCGGAGUCGCUCUUUGGGCACACACAAACUCUUAUGUAUCUGAAUGUAUACAAGGCCUACGGGCCCUAAACUAAACAAUACAACUUUCAACAACGGAUCUCUUGGCUCUC